rnacentral:ncRNA from 1 species
GGGUACCGCCACCUUCCCGCGCUUGCGUUGACGUUCGGUAUAAACGUCGCGCUUGCG